rnacentral:misc_RNA from 1 species
GUGGGAGGGGGCUUGCUCCCGAUGGCUGAGUGUCAGUCAGUAUCUGCUUGACUGAUACACCGCUAUCGGGGGCAAGCCCCCUCCCAC